rnacentral:rRNA from 1 species
UACUAAGCGGAGGAAAAGAAACUAACCAGGAUUUCCUGAGUAGCGGCGAGCGAACAGGAAAGAGCCCAGCACCGAAUCCCGCGGUUCCGCCGCAGGGAAAUGUGGUGUUCGGGAGGAUCCGAAUUUAUCCCGAGUCGCCGUAUCGCGUCCAAGUCCAUCUUGAAUGGGGCCACUUACCCGCAGAGGGUGCCAGGCCCGUAGCGACCGGUGCGCGCCUCGGGAGGAUCUCUCCUUAGAGUCGGGUUGCUUGAGAGUGCAGCUCUAAGUGGGUGGUAAACUCCAUCUAAGGCUAAAUACGACCACGAGACCGAUAGCGAACAAGUACCGUGAGGGAAAGUUGAAAAGAACUUUGAAGAGGGAGUUCAAGAGUACGUGAAACCGUUCAGGGGUAAACCUGAGAAACCCAAAAGAUCGAACGGGGAGAUUCAUCGUCAGCGGCCGUUGGCUUCGAGUCGGUGGGCGAUGUUCCGCGGCGGAUUCCGCGCGGGCACGCUGCCGUGCGCGCAUGUCCGACGUCGUCGUCGUGCACUUCUCCCCUAGUAGAACGUCGCGACCCGCUGGGUGUCGGUCUACGGCCCGGGUGCGCUGUCUGUCGCGCGACCGGUAAAACGGCGCGCUGCAAGCCCCCGGUGAAACACAAGCCCCGGCCGACUGCCCGGCGGUACUCGCAAGGUAUCAGGCCGCAGAUUUUUCUCUGCGUCAAGCCCGUCGCAAGCGCGCGCCACGUAAUCCGGAGGCACGGACCCGGCGCCGUCCCCGGUUCUGGCCCGCUGUUCGCCGACGGUGACCCUUUGACAGGCCUUCGAACACACACGGGGCGUCGCGAGGGGGCCCCUCGCGGGUCCGCUCCCUCGUCCCCGCGAUACCGGUCGGCGACGCUACUGCUUUGGGUACUCUCAGGA